rnacentral:rRNA from 1 species
UGUUAGCGGCGGACGGGUGAGUAACACGUGGAUAACCUACCUAUAAGACUGGGAUAACUUCGGGAAACCGGAGCUAAUACCGGAUAAUAUUUUGAACCGCAUGGUUCAAAAGUGAAAGACGGUCUUGCUGUCACUUAUAGAUGGAUCCGCGCUGCAUUAGCUAGUUGGUAAGGUAACGGCUUACCAAGGCAACGAUGCAUAGCCGACCUGAGAGGGUGAUCGGCCACACUGGAACUGAGACACGGUCCAGACUCCUACGGGAGGCAGCAGUAGGGAAUCUUCCGCAAUGGGCGAAAGCCUGACGGAGCAACGCCGCGUGAGUGAUGAAGGUCUUCGGAUCGUAAAACUCUGUUAUUAGGGAAGAACAUAUGUGUAAGUAACUGUGCACAUCUUGACGGUACCUAAUCAGAAAGCCACGGCUAACUACGUGCCAGCAGCCGCGGUAAUACGUAGGUGGCAAGCGUUAUCCGGAAUUAUUGGGCGUAAAGCGCGCGUAGGCGGUUUUUUAAGUCUGAUGUGAAAG